GGGGCGCUGGCGCAAUUGGUAGCGCGUCAGAUUCCAGCACAAUUCAAGUUGCGAGAUUCCUGAAGGUUAUCCGUUCGAGUCGGGUGUGCCUCA